UGGCUCAGAUUGAACGCUGGCGGCAUGCCUUACACAUGCAAGUCGAACGGCAGCGCGGGGCAACCUGGCGGCGAGUGGCGAACGGGUGAGUAAUAUAUCGGAACGUACCCUGGAGUGGGGGAUAACGUAGCGAAAGUUACGCUAAUACCGCAUACGAUCUAAGGAUGAAAUGGGGGAUUCGCAAGAACCUCAUGCUCCUGGAGCGGCCGAUAUCUGAUUAGCUAGUUGGUGAGGUAAAGGCUCACCAAGGCUUCGAUCAGUAGCUGGUCUGAGAGGACGACCAGCCACACUGGAACUGAGACACGGUCCAGACUCCUACGGGAGGCAGCAGUGGGGAAUUUUGGACAAUGGGCGCAAGCCUGAUCCAGCAAUGCCGCGUGAGUGAAGAAGGCCUUCGGGUUGUAAAGCUCUUUUGUCAGGGAAGAAACGGUGAGGGCUAAUAUCUCUUGCUAAUGACGGUACCUGAAGAAUAAGCACCGGCUAACUACGUG
rnacentral:rRNA from 1 species